GUCUACAGCCACGCUACCCUGAACAAGCCCGAUCCUGUCUGAUCUUGGAAGCUAAGCAUGGUCGGGCCUGGUUAGUACUUGGAUGGGAGACUGCCUAGGAAGACCAGGUGCCGUAGGCG
rnacentral:rRNA from 1 species